rnacentral:lncRNA from 1 species
UAGCCUUCGGAGUUGCUGAGCCCGAGAGAUGAGGGCCUGUGGUUGCCUCUCAGCUUCUUCCAGACUCACCAGGGGACAUGCCCUGGCUCAGAUGUGGCUGGACUCCCUGACUACUGCUAAAGGUUUUCAACGUGUGGUGUCAUGGGAAGAACACAAGCCAUGAAAAGGCCAAACUUGGACUUGAACCCAGGCUUUGCUGUGUGACCUAAGCUGACAAGCACGUGAGUUAAUCUCUGCACCUCACGUUCCCGCCUACAAAACAGUGGAACAGUACCUGCCACAGAGGCUGGCAGAGAGGAUUACGUGAGUCAAUAGGGACACACAUAGGACACAGCUAGGGUGGUGCCUGGCAUACAGUGGGUGCUUAAUAAAUGCUCUGUGCUAUCCAGUGAGUUUCACAAGACCCUUUAGAAGUUGCUAUCUAAGAUUUCACCUUAGAUCAAUCCUUCCAUCAAGAAAACUAAGAAAAGUUUGUCUUUUCCUAGUAAGAGCUACGUUACUGAAGGAGAAAUGAAUGGUGGGGCCAGGCGGUUCCCCAGGGAAGCCCGGGGCUAAGUCCGUGCCCCUUCCUGUCUCCCUGUCGAGGGGGUCUGGUGCCUCGUCGACGUCCAAACUGAUCGCUUUGGCGAUGCAGAUAGACAGGAUCUGGCAGAGCAUUCAGGCAAGCUUCACACUUGCUGAGCCGAAUCAUUCCCUUUGGUUACACCCCAGGCAAUGCCAAGUAAACAACUUCAGCAACCCAGACAGAGCAAUUAAAAUGAUCCUAUGCAGCUGCCUGCCAAGUGAAGUGAUUCCUGCUAAACUCUCGAUUAGCAUUCACUAAAGUGUGUUCUGUCGGACACAGGAUCAGAGGGAGGUAAAUAAGAGCCAUGGGCAGAAAAGGAUGCCUGUUAAGGGCACUCAGGGGAUUCGAGGCCAGGUCAGGCUGAGCCGGUUUCUUUCCUGCACGCCUUCUCAGGCCUCAGUGUUCUAUGCCUUGUCAAUCUCUCCACGGGCUAUACCUACAGUGUUUCUCAAACACCCCUGACUGUUCGGCUCCCUUAUUCAGGAACUCCUAUUAACACAUUGCAGAACUAGGAUUCCUUUGAGAAAUGUUUC